UUCCGUAGGGUGACCUGCGGAGGGAUCAUUGCUGGAACGCGCCCCAGGCGCACCCAGAAACCCUUUGUGAACUUAUACCUUACUGUUGCCUCGGCGCAUGCCGGCCCCCCUGGGGGCCCCUCCUUCUGGAGGAGCAGGCACGCCGGCGGCCAACCUAACUCUUGUUUUUACACUGAAACUCUGAGAAUAAAACAUAAAUGAAUCAAAACUUUCAACAACGGAUCUCUUGGUUCUGGCAUCGAUGAAGAACGCAGCGAAAUGCGAUAAGUAAUGUGAAUUGCAGAAUUCAGUGAAUCAUCGAAUCUUUGAACGCACAUUGCGCCCUCUGGUAUUCCGGAGGGCAUGCCUGUUCGAGCGUCAUUUCAACCCUCAAGCCUGGCUUGGUGAUGGGGCACUGCUUUUACCCAAAAGCAGGCCCUGAAAUUCAGUGGCGAGCUCGCCAGGACCCCGAGCGCAGUAGUUAAACCCUCGCUUUGGAAGGCCCUGGCGGUGCCCUGCCGUUAAACCCCCAACUUCUGAAAAUUUGACCUCGGAUCAGGUAGGAAUACCCGCGAACUUUAAGCAUAUCAA
rnacentral:rRNA from 1 species